GAUGAACGCUGGCGGCGUGCCUAACACAUGCAAGUUGAGCGGGUGUAGCAAUACAUCAGCAGCAAACGGGUGAGUAACACGUAAGUAACCUACCUUCAAGACUGGUACAACUAGUCGAAAGAUUGGCUAAUUCCAGAUGUGAUCACGAGAACGAAUGUUCUUGUGAUUAAACCCCGCAAGGGGCUUGAAGACGGGCUUGCGUCCUAUCAGCUAGUUGGCGGGGUAACGGCCCACCAAGGCUAUGACGGGUAACUGGUCUGAGAGGACGACCAGUCACAAGGGAACUGAGACACGGUCCCUACUCCUACGGGAGGCAGCAGUGAGGAAUUUUCCACAAUGGGCGAAAGCCUGAUGGAGCGACGCCGUGUGUGUGACGAAGUCCUUCGGGACGUAAAACACUGUCAGUGGGGACGAUAUUGACGGUACCCACAGAGGAAGGCCCGGCUAACUACGUGCCAGCAGCCGCGGUAAUACGUAGGGGCCAAGCGUUGUCCGGAAUUAUUGGGCGUAAAGGGUAUGCAGGUGGCUCGUUAAGUCAGAGGUUAAAUCUACAAGCUCAACUUGUAGCUGCCUUUGAUACUGACUUGCUAGAGAAUGGUAGAGGAAAGCGGAACUUACGGUGUAGCGGUGAAAUGCGUAGAUAUCGUAAGGAACACCAGUGGCGAAGGCGGCUUUCUGGACCAUUUCUGACACUGAGAUACGAAAGCUAGGGGAGCAAACGGGAUUAGAUACCCCGGUAGUCCUAGCCCUAAACGAUGUUCAUUAGGUGUUAGAGGUAUCGACCCCUCUAGUGCCGAAGCUAACGCGUUAAAUGAACCGCCUGGGGAUUACGGUCGCAAGACUAAAACUCAAAAGAAUUGACGGGGGCCCGCACAAGCGGUGGAGCAUGUGGUUUAAUUCGAUGCUACGCGAAGGACCUUACCUGGGCUUGACAUGCAAGUAGUAGUGAACCGAAAGGGGAUCGAUUCCGAGCAAUCGGAAAGCUUGCACAGGUGCUGCAUGGCUGUCGUCAGUUCGUGUCGUGAGAUGUUUGGUUAAGUCCAACAACGAACGCAACCCCCAUCGCCAGUUGAUAACGUAAAGUCGAUCACUCUGGCGAAACUGCCUCGGAUAACGGGGAGGAAGGUGGGGAUGAGGUCAAGUCAUCAUGGCCUUUAUGCCCAGGGCCACACACGUGCUACAAUGCAAUAUACAAAGGGACGCAAACCCGCAAGGGCUCGCAAAUCUCAAAAAGUAUUGCUCAGUUCGGAUUGAAGGCUGAAAUUCGCCUUCAUGAAGCUGGAAUCGCUAGUAACCGCAGAUCAGCACGCUGCGGUGAAUACGUUCUCGGGCCUUGUACACACCGCCCGUCACACCAUGGAAGCCAAAAACGCCUGAAGUUCCGUUUCGGCGGACCUAAGGUGGUGUUGGUGACUGGGGUG
rnacentral:rRNA from 1 species